UAUGGAUGUGAUGAGUUAAUUACCGCCCCAGGCUGAAAAGUCAUGACUGAUUGGUAACCCCUCUGAUCCAUA